UUCCUCCACAUUUUCACCAUGGCAGUAUUAAGUAGUGAGUGUGAAUGACACAGCAUGAAACUGGUUACUGAAUCAGCUAUGAGCUCAGAUGGCCUCAACAUACAUACUCAAGAAAUGUUGCAUGUUUAAAUAACUGAGAGUGUGCUAAAUCUCAUCUAAAAAAAAGAAGGAGAGGGGCUGGGGAACUCAGGCCCCAGUCAUGAAAGGAUGAAUACAAUUUCUAGGUUUAAUAGGUUCACCAUAUCGAAGUCUUUGAGAAUCCAAUAUGGAAUAUCAAUUAUUUUGCAAAAGGUAGAGGAAGCAGUUCUCAACUUUUGCAAAUGAAAUACAGUGGAAAAACACUGUUGUAUAUAUUCCAAAUAAAUAGUCUUGAUUUCAACGCUAACAAAACAACGGGAAGGGUACUCGUGAGCAUCUCACGGUUAAGUCAGAAAUGAUCGUUCACACAGGUCUGAUUUCAGAAGUACAACAGCAAGAUGCAGCACCAUAGACACAUCGGUUUCGGCUGUUAAAAGAUGGAUCAUUUUAAAAACUGGGUUUUCCUUCCUUAAUUUUUGGUCAGUGAAGCUAGCACUUGUUUGCUGAACUGUGGAAGAACUGCAAGGUCACACACAUUAUUCAUGAUAAAGCAACCGAGCUGACGAGUCUGUGCUUAAUUCAAGAAUAACCAGUAGGAGAGAGAGAAAACACAAGGAGUUAACCACCAUCGCCGGUGCUCUCUCAAAGGAAGAGGGUUAACAGAUGAGUUCACAAAGGUAGGCAGAUCUAUACAGAACACUGAAUGCCAUGUGUAAAUCCUCAUGAAACUCCAGAAACAGGAACACCACACAA
rnacentral:lncRNA from 1 species